GAUGAACGCUGGCGGCGUACCUAAUACAUGCAAGUCGAGCGAACAGACGAGGAGCUUGCUCCUCUGACGUUAGCGGCGGACGGGUGAGUAACACGUGGAUAACCUUCCUAUAAGACUGGGAUAACUUCGGGAAACCGGAGCUAAUACCGGAUAAUAUAUUGAACCGCAUGGUUCAAUAGUGAAAGACGGUUUUGCUGUCACUUAUAGAUGGAUCCGCGCCGCAUUAGCUAGUUGGUAAGGUAACGGCUUACCAAGGCAACGAUGCGUAGCCGACCUGAGAGGGUGAUCGGCCACACUGGAACUGAGACACGGUCCAGACUCCUACGGGAGGCAGCAGUAGGGAAUCUUCCGCAAUGGGCGAAAGCCUGACGGAGCAACGCCGCGUGAGUGAUGAAGGUCUUCGGAUCGUAAAACUCUGUUAUUAGGGAAGAACAAAUGUGUAAGUAACUAUGCACGUCUUGACGGUACCUAAUCAGAAAGCCACGGCUAACUACGUG
rnacentral:rRNA from 1 species